CGUAACUACCGUACGCCACGCAGCCGCGGUAAGUACGGACGGGUGCGAGCGUUAAUCGGAAUUACUGGGCGUAAAGCGCAUGCAGGUGGUUUGUUAAGUACAGAUGUGAAAGACCCGGGGCGUCAACCUCCGGAAUUGCAUUUGUAAACUAGGCGAGACUAGAGUACUGUAGAGGGGGGUAGGAAUUUACUAGGUGUAGCGGUGAAAAUAGCGUAGAGAUCUGAAGGAAUACCGGUGGCGAAGGCGGCCCCCUCGGACAGAUACUGACACUCAGAUGCGAAAGCGUGGGGAGCAAACAGGAUUAGAUACCCCUGGUAG
rnacentral:rRNA from 1 species